rnacentral:rRNA from 1 species
UACGAGUGCCCCAAGCCGUUAUCCGGAAUUAUUGGGCGUAAAGGGUGUGUAGGUGGUUUUGUUAGUCUUCUGUUAAAGCUCCCGGCUUAACCGGGAAAGUGCAGGGGAAACGGCAAGACUAGAGGAUGUGAGAGGUUUGCGGAACUCAUGGUGUAGGGGUGAAAUCCGUUGAUAUCAUGGGGAACACCAAAAGCGAAGGCAGCAAACUGGCGCAUUCCUGACACUGAAACACGAAAGCGUGGGUAGCGAAUGGG